UCCCUGGUGGCUCAGCUGGUAGAGAAUCUGCCUGCAAUGCAGGAGACUCAGGUUCAAUCCUAGGUUGGGAA
rnacentral:tRNA from 1 species